rnacentral:rRNA from 1 species
UACGUAGGGUGCAAGCGUUGUUCGGAAUUAUUGGGCGUAAAGCGCGUGUAGGCGGCUUUGCAAGUCGGGUGUGAAAGCCCUCAGCUCAACUGAGGAAGUGCGCCCGAAACUGCAGAGCUUGAGUACCGGAGAGGAUGGCGGAAUUCCCCAAGUAGAGGUGAAAUUCGUAGAUAUGGGGAGGAACACCGGUGGCGAAGGCGGCCAUCUGGACGGAUACUGACGCUGAGACGCGAAAGCGUGGGGAGCAAACAGG